CAGCACCUCAAGUGGUCAGGAUGAUUAUUGGGCCUAAAGCAUCCGUAGCCGGCUCUGUAAGUUUUCGGUUAAAUCUGUAUGCUCAACAUACAGGCUGCCGGGAAUACUGCAGAGCUAGGGAGUGGGAGAGGUAGACGGUACUCGGUAGGAAGGGGUAAGAUCCUUUGAUCUAUUGAUGACCACCUGUGGCGAAGGCGGUCUACCAGAACACGUCCGACGGUGAGGGAUGAAAGCUGGGGGAGCAAACCGGAUUAGAUACCCGAGUAGUCC
rnacentral:rRNA from 1 species